AGAGUUUGAUCCUGGCUCAGGAUGAACGCUAGCGGCAGGCUUAAUACAUGCAAGUCGAGGGGCAGCAGGCUGUAGCAAUACGGUGCUGGCGACCGGCAAACGGGUGCGGAACACGUACACAACCUUCCUUUAAGCGGGGAAUAGCCCAGGGAAACUUGGAGUAAUGUCCCAUAGGAUUGUAGAGUGGCAUCACUUAGCAA
rnacentral:rRNA from 1 species